rnacentral:misc_RNA from 1 species
AUGCAAAAUUCUAAAUGUAGUAUUAAUUUACUUAAUACGCUCACGCGAAAUCUCAACCUGCGCGCAUCAACAUCGCCACUAAACGUUUCCUCUCAUAUUGCCACUAAAUAUGUGCACCUCAGCAGUUAUGUACAAGCACGCAACAAGAAGACUGGACCACAGCAUGUUUCCACACUUUUCAAACCGGUACCAAUGCCGCGAAAUGCAGACGAACAUGAUGUGGGUGCUGAAAUGGUGGGUAAACUGGACAAAGCAGAAUUGUUAAAGAUUCUUAACAAAUUUACACAAAAACGUGAAAUCAAACAAUUAUGCGUAGAAAAUGGACUUGACACUUACUUACAACAACAAGCCUUUGCCUCAUUUCGCCGAUACUGCAUUGAGGCGGAAAACCUUCCAGUGGACUUGCACAUAACCGUUAGUGAUAUACUAAAUAAUGCGGGGCACAUUGAUGAUAUAUUUCCAUAUUUCCUGAGGCACGCUAAAACCAUAUUUCCUCAUUUAGACUGUAUGGAUGAUCUGAAGAAAAUCUCAGAUCUACGUACACCAGCGAAUUGGUACCCCAGUGCACGUGCAAUUACCCGAAAAAUCGUAUUUCACGCGGGACCGACAAAUUCUGGAAAAACGUAUCAUGCUAUGGAACGUUUUUUGACCGCAAAAACAGGUGUAUAUUGUGGUCCACUAAAACUACUAGCCACUGAGGUGUUCAACAAAGCUAAUGAUAGGGGUACAGCCUGUGAUCUUGUUACGGGUGAGGAACGUAAAUUUGGUAUUAAUGAAGAUACGCCAGCAAAUCAUGUAGCUUGUACUGUAGAGAUGACUUCGGUAAACACGCCUUAUGAAGUUGCUGUUAUCGAUGAAAUACAACAGUUGCGGGACCCGCAACGUGGUUGGGCCUGGACUCGUGCCUUUCUUGGCCUAAUCGCUGAUGAAGUGCACGUUUGUGGUGAGUCCGGUGCUUUGGAGCUACUGCAAAAAAUUUGUGAAACAACAAAUGAAACCGUCGAAGUGCACAACUACGAUAGGCUUACCGAGCUAACCAUUGAGGAUUCAGCAUUGACAAGCUUGGACAAUGUGCAGCCAGGCGAUUGCAUUGUGUGUUUUAGUAAAAACGAUAUUUACUCGGUGUCACGCGAAAUUGAAGCGAGAGGUAAAGAGGUGGCUGUGAUCUAUGGCGGAUUACCACCAGGCACUAAGUUGGCGCAAGCAGCAAAGUUCAAUGACCCGGACAAUAGUUGUAAAGUGAUGGUCGCAACGGAUGCGAUCGGCAUGGGUCUAAAUCUGAGCAUACGCCGUAUCAUCUUUUAUUCAAUAAUCAAACCAUCAAUGAACGAAAAAGGUGAACGAGAAAUUGAUACAAUCUCCAUAUCGUCAGCGCUGCAGAUUGCCGGUCGCGCUGGACGUUUUCGUACACAGUGGGAGCAUGGUUAUGUGACCACUUUUAAAGCGGACGACUUACAGACCUUGCGCAAGAUUUUAUCCCAGAAACCUGAACCUCUGAAACAAGCUGGUCUGCAUCCUACCGCCGAUCAAAUAGAGCUUUACGCUUACCAUCUGCCAAAAUCCACACUCAGCAAUCUGAUGGAUAUAUUUGUGAAUCUGUGCACUGUUGAUGACUCGUUAUACUUCAUGUGCAAUAUUGAAGAUUUUAAAUUCUUAGCUGAGAUGAUUGAACACGUGCCGUUGCCACUUCGUGCACGCUAUGUAUUCUGUUGUGCGCCCAUAAACAAAAAGAUGCCCUUUGUCUGCUCCAUGUUCCUUAAGAUUGCCAGACAGUAUAGUCGCAAUGAACCAAUCACCUUCGACUUCAUUACACGUAAUUGUGGUUGGCCCUUUGCCUUGCCCAAAACGAUCAUUGAUCUUAUGCACCUGGAAUCGGUAUUCGAUGUGAUGGAUCUAUACUUAUGGUUAAGUUACCGUUUUAUGGAUUUAUUCCCCGAUGCAGCAGCAGUACGUGUAGCGCAGAAGGAACUUGAUGACAUAAUACAGCAGGGCGUGUUUCAAAUUACGCGGUUGCUAAAGAAUUCUGAAGCCAGUCAAAGUGCAACCGAUGGAGAUACGACGUAUAAUUUACGAAGAUCUACAUAUAUGCGUGAACCACGCAUACCAAACUCCUCACGUGGUCGCCUAACAGACCGUUUAAUCGCUCAAGGUCUACUAACGCCUGGUAUGCUGAGUGAGCUGCGCAAGGAAUGGGAUGCACAGCAACAAUCGCUCGCGCAGUCUACAAUCGAAAGCGCCUUCGAUUCGGAUGAUGAAGGGAACAAUAGUGGUUUCAAGAAAAUGCGACGAAAGCGGCGCAAGUGAAUUGCAAUGAAAUUGCUACAAAAAACAGACUUUAUUUAUGUAUAGUUUCUCAUUUCGUUGUCGUGCUGUUCGUAUGCGUCAUUGAGAAUUGACGACAAAAGAGACGAAAACUACUCAGAAACUCAACAAUUACUUUUGUUUUAAAUAAUUUAAGUACAUAUUCAUGUAUAUACGUAAUUAUUAUUCCUUAAGAGGUGCAAAUGGGCACAAAAAAAUAAUAAAGCAGUCAGUCAAGAAGAAGAGUAGUUGAAAUUCUGAA